UGGGGAAUAUUGGACAAUGGGCGCAAGCCUGAUCCAGCAAUGCCGCGUGAGUGAUGAAGGCCUUAGGGUUGUAAAGCUCUUUCGGCGGGGAAGAUGAUGACGGUACCCGCAGAAGAAGCCCCGGCUAACUUCGUGCCCGCAGCCGCGGUAAUACGAAGGGGGCUAGCGUUGUUCGGAAUUACUGGGCGUAAAGGGCGCGUAGGCGGCGCAUUAAGUCAGGUGUGAAAGCCCUGGGCUCAACCCAGGAAUUGCACUUGAUACUGAUGUGCUUGAAUCCGGAAGAGGAUGACGGAAUUCCCAGUGUAGAGGUGAAAUUCAUUGAUAUUGGGAAGAACACCAGUGGCGAAGGCGGUCAUCUGGUCCGGUAUUGACGCUGAGGCGCGAAAGCCAGGGGAGCAAA
rnacentral:rRNA from 1 species